rnacentral:rRNA from 1 species
GAUGAACGCUGGCGGCGUGCCUAAUACAUGCAAGUCGAGCGAACAGACGAGGAGCUUGCUCCUCUGACGUUAGCGGCGGACGGGUGAGUAACACGUGGAUAACCUACCUAUAAGACUGGGAUAACUUCGGGAAACCGGAGCUAAUACCGGAUAAUAUAUUGAACCGCAUGGUUCAAUAGUGAAAGACGGUUUUGCUGUCACUUAUAGAUGGAUCCGCGCCGCAUUAGCUAGUUGGUAAGGUAACGGCUUACCAAGGCAACGAUGCGUAGCCGACCUGAGAGGGUGAUCGGCCACACUGGAACUGAGACACGGUCCAGACUCCUACGGGGGGCAGCAGUAGGGAAUCUUCCGCAAUGGGCGAAAGCAUAACGGAGCAACGCCGCGUGAGUGAUGAAGGUCUUCGGAUCGUAAAACUCUGUUAUUAGGGAAGAACAAAUGUGUAAGUAACUAUGAACGUCUUGACGGUACCUAAUCAGAAAGCCACGGCUAACUACGUG